UGUGCCAAAGGGCAAACCGGUCGAAAGGCCGGGACGCAAAACUUCCGGUCUAAGGGUCUGUUGUACCUAAGAUAGCGGGGUCACCACA
rnacentral:ncRNA from 1 species